AAACUCAAAGGAAUUGACGGGGGCCCGCACAAGCGGUGGAGCAUGUGGUUUAAUUCGACGCAACGCGCAGAACCUUACCAGCCCUUGACAUGUCCAGGACCGGUCGCAGAGACGUGACCUUCUCUUCGGAGCCUGGAACACAGGUGCUGCAUGGCUGUCGUCAGCUCGUGUCGUGAGAUGUUGGGUUAAGUCCCGCAACGAGCGCAACCCCCGUCCUUAGUUGCUACCAUUUAGUUGAGCACUCUAAGGAGACUGCCGGUGAUAAGCCGCGAGGAAGGUGGGGAUGACGUCAAGUCCUCAUGGCCCUUACGGGCUGGGCUACACACGUGCUACAAUGGCGGUGACAAUGGGAAGCGAAGACGCAAGUCCUAGCAAAUCUCAAAAAGCCGUCUCAGUUCGGAUUGGGCUCUGCAACUCGAGCCCAUGAAGUUGGAAUCGCUAGUAAUCGUGGAUCAGCACGCCACGGUGAAUACGUUCCCGGGCCUUGUACACACCGCCCGUCACACCAUGGGAGUUGGCUUUACCUGAAGACGGUGCGCUAACCAGCAAUGGAGGCAGCCGGCCACGGUAGGGUCAGCGACUGGGGUGAAGUCGUAACAAGGUAGCCGUAGGGGAAC
rnacentral:rRNA from 1 species